UGGCUCUGGCAUCGAUGAAGAACGCAGCGAAAUGCGAUAAGUAUUGUGAAUUGCAGAAUCCAGUGAAUCAUCGAAUCUUUGAACGCACAUUGCGCCCGCCGGUAUUCCGGCGGGCAUGCCUGUCCGAGCGUCAUUUCAACCCUCAAGCCCAGCUUGGUGUUGGGACGUCCAGCCUAAAACGCUGGGGGUCCUCAAAUUCAUAGGCGGUUCUCCAAAAACCUCGAACGCAGUAAUUUUACUAAUCGUUUGGCGGUCUUUUGGCGAUUCAGCCUCUAACACUUCAAAGGUUGACCUCGGAUCAGGUAGGAAUACCCGCUGA
rnacentral:misc_RNA from 1 species